rnacentral:rRNA from 1 species
GAUGAACGCUGGCGGCGUGCUUAACACAUGCAAGUCGAACGAAGCAUUUAGAACGGAUUACUUCGGUUUGAAGUUCUUUAUGACUGAGUGGCGGACGGGUGAGUAACGCGUGGGUAACCUGCCUUGUACUGGGGGAUAGCAGCUGGAAACGGCUGGUAAUACCGCAUAAGCGCACAAUGUUGCAUGACAUGGUGUGAAAAACUCCGGUGGUAUAAGAUGGACCCGCGUCUGAUUAGCUAGUUGGUGAGAUAACAGCCCACCAAGGCGACGAUCAGUAGCCGACCUGAGGGGGUGACCGGCCACAUUGGGACUGAGACACGGCCCAGACUCCUACGGGAGGCAGCAGUGGGGAAUAUUGCACAGUGGAGGAAAUUCUGAUGCAGCGACGCCGCGUGAGUGAAGAAGUAAUUCGUUAUGUAAAGCUCUAUCAGCAGGGAAGAUAGUGACGGUACCUGACUAAGAAGCUCCGGCUAAAUACGUGCCAGCAGCCGCCGUAA